CGCGUAGGUGGCCUGAUAAGUAGGGGGUGAAAUCUCGAGGCUCAACUUCGAGGCUGCCUCCUAAACUGUCAGGCUUGAGCAGAGUAGAGGCAGGUGGAAUUCCCGGUGUAGCGGUGGAAUGCGUAGAGAUCGGGAAGAACAUCGGUGGCGAAGGCGGCCUGCUGGGCUCUUGCUGACACUGAGGCGCGACAGCGUGGGGAGCAAACAGGAUUAGAUACCCUGGUAGUCCACGCCGUAAACGAUGGGUACUAGGCGCCGGGGGGAGCGACCCCUUCGGUGCCGUCGCUAACGCAAUAAGUACCCCGCCUGGGGAGUACGGCCGCAAGGCUGAA
rnacentral:rRNA from 1 species